GAUAGAGUACUAUAGCAUAAAACAGAAUAUUUUUUUGGAUGCACUUCAUUUGAAAAAAAUCUAUAAGAGUUUCUGAAAGUAACAUUCCUUCAGCUUGCUUGGUUGAUCUAUGAGAAAUCAUAAACAAGAAACCUUCUGUCUUACCCCUAAUCCCCUCACAAACUCUUCAACUCAACCCCUCUCCCAUCCUCAUUUGCAAGUCCAGCUUUCUUUCCGACCGCCACUUCGACCCAUUUGUCCCUGCCAACAAGCUCAUAGAGGACCUAGAUAUCUAUGCCUCCUCCAUCUCCCUUCACAUGCAUGAUAAUGCUCCAAACAUCGAAACCUGCAAACCCAAAAAAGAAACUAUUCUUUCUACUCUCUCACGCUGUUCACAGCAAAUUUCAGAACCUGCCAAACGCAAUAUGAGAUAAGCCAUCUCGACCAGCUUAUAUCCCCGCAAGGCCAACUCUAUACUUUCGCCAACCCAACCGACAACCUGCUUCAAUCUUCAACAGUACAACUCAAAAUUAGAGAUCUAGAUCCCACAAACUCAGAUACCUUUUUUGUGCCCUAGAAUCAAACUUGAAGCCCUAACAACAUCUAACGAGAUCAAUUUUACAGCCGGGGGUGGAACAUAACUUGGACCGCAUCCUGCAAUCAAAAUUUCAGACGCAUCUGCAGCUCAUACACAGCCAACCUGAAAAUAAAUCACUCUCGGAAUUUAAUCGGUCUUCUCACAACCAGGAAAACGCCUCAUCCGGCUCUAAACCAGAAAUCGAAGGACAGGAAUUUUACAAAUAGAAAAUCUUAA
rnacentral:lncRNA from 1 species